rnacentral:lncRNA from 10 species
CGACACAUCUUCUACCUGACUUCAGCACCAGCGGCUCCGUCACAAGCUUCCCAUUCACAUAUGUCUCAGCUCCUUCACAAGGCUCCAGAGUGACCACCACUGAAUGGAGGGGCAGAGGAAGGGGAAAGAUUAGACCCUGGAGGAAGAUGUCCAUUCCUACCUUUCCCACUGACAUUAUCCCUGGUGGGGCCUGGGCUCCUCCAGCAGGCUUGUAGCCCACCCCUCUGCCUCAUGCAUCUUGCAAACUGCCACCUGACUCAUCUUCUCAAGCCACAGCUGACAUGUGACAAGAGAAAGUCAACCCAACCCAAACAUCCAUCUAGCUGCUCCUCAGUACAAAUCACUGAGCCUGCCAGUUUCUGGGGACGCGAAGAUGCACGAGGCAGCUCCCUGUCCUCGAGGAGCAGUGGCCAUUGCCGCAGAGGAACCCUGGUAUCCCAAAGGCCCAGGCUCUGCAGCUCCUUAGCCAGGGAUGCUGAACAAGUCAAUUUAACUUCUGUGAUAUUCUAUAAGAUGGGAUAAUGAAGUCUGAAUGAAGAGUGGUUAGAAGGCCCAAAAAAGUAAACCAUAAAAUAACAUGCAA